ACCUGGUUGGUGUAGUGGGUAGCACGCGGUCAUGAAGGUCGUUUACCUGCAAAUUUGGGUUUACACUACUUAAUUGACUUAGACCUUGGUUCAACUCCAAGACUGGGCC